CAAAUGAAUUGACGGGGCCGCACAAGCGGUGGAGCAUGUGGUUAAUUCGACGCAACGCGAAGAACCUUACCAGGCUUGACAUCCCCUGACCGCGUAUGAAAGUACGUUUUCACCCUCGGGUGACAGGGAGACAGGUGGUGCAUGGUUGUCGUCAGCUCGUGUCGUGAGAUGUUGGGUUAAGUCCCGCAACGAGCGCAACCCCUACGUUUAGUUGCUAACGCGUGAAGGCGAGCAUUCUAGACGAACUGCCGUUGACAAAACGGAGGAAGGUGGGAUGACGUCAAAUCAUCAUGCCCCUUAUGUUCUGGGCUACACACGUGCUACAAUGGCCGGUACAGACGGACGCAAAGCCGCGAGGUGGAGCAAAUCCUAAAAAGCCGGUCUCAGUUCGGAUUGCAGGCUGCAAUUCGCCUGCAUGAAGUCGGAAUCGCUAGUAAUCGCAGGUCAGCAUACUGCGGUGAGUACGUUCUCGGGCCUU
rnacentral:rRNA from 1 species